rnacentral:tRNA from 1 species
GCCAUAGCUUAGUGGCAGAGCAUCUGCUUUGCAUGUAGAAGAUCCCAGGUUCAAUCCUUGGCAUCUCCA